CAGUUGCUCAAGGAUACCACACCUUAAGACUUCACUUGCUUGAGGAUACCUCACCCCAAGACUUCAACCACUAAGACUUUGGGUACUUAGCAAACACGACAAAUGAGAAUAUAUGUUCUUCUCAAACAACUCUCUAACAAAUACUCUCUCAAUAUAGUGGAUAAAGAAAAACAAAAUAAGCUCUAUGAACAACACAAAGUUGUCUAUCAAAUGGCUCAACAAAAGCUCUAAAAUGAUGCUUGAAAAUGAUCAAUAUGUAUAUCAAUAU
rnacentral:lncRNA from 1 species